rnacentral:tRNA from 1 species
ACUUUCCUAGUAUAAUACAGUACAGCUGACUUCCAAUCACCUAGUCUCAGUCAAAAUCUGAGGGAGAGUA